rnacentral:tRNA from 1 species
UCCCCGUUGGUGUAAUUGGCAACACAGCGGCCUUUGGAGCCGUAGUUCGAGGUUCGAGUCCUCGACGGGGAG